GGCUUAGAGUUUGAUCAUGGCUCAGGAUGAACGCUGGCGGCGUGCCUAACACAUGCAAGUCGAGCGAAGCGCUUUACUUUGAGAUCUUCGGAAGGAUAAGUUUUGUGACUGAGCGGCGGACGGGUGAGUAACGCGUGGGUAACCUGCCUCAUACAGGGGGAUAACAGUUAGAAAUGACUGCUAAUACCGCAUAAGACCACAGCACCGCAUGGUGCGGGGGUAAAAACUCCGGUGGUAUGAGAUGGACCCGCGUCUGAUUAGCUAGUUGGUAAGGUAACGGCUUACCAAGGCAACGAUCAGUAGCCGACCUGAGAGGGUGACCGGCCACAUUGGGACUGAGACACGGCCCAAACUCCUACGGGAGGCAGCAGUGGGGAAUAUUGCACAAUGGGGAAACCCUGAUGCAGCGACGCCGCGUGAGCGAAGAAGUAUUUCGGUAUGUAAAGCUCUAUCAGCAGGGAAGAAACUGACGGUACCUGACUAAGAAGCACCGGCUAAAUACGUGCCAGCAGCCGCGGUAAUACGUAUGGUGCAAGCGUUAUCCGGAUUUACUGGGUGUAAAGGGAGCGUAGACGGAUAGGCAAGUCUGGAGUGAAAGCCCGGGGCUCAACCCCGGGACUGCUUUGGAAACUGUUUAUCUAGAGUGCUGGAGAGGUAAGUG
rnacentral:rRNA from 1 species